AUCGCUUCUCGGCCUUUUGGCUAAGAUCAAAGUUCGUAGUAUCUGUUCUUAUCAGCUUAAUAUCUGAUACGUCCUCCAUUGGGGGACAUCGAUAUUAAACUGAUUUUUGAAAGGGGGGUGAGGUGCCCGGGGCUUGCUCCGCCCUCACCACGGGUUGACCCGGUAUUGCAGUUACUUCCGGGAAAUGGCCCACCACAU
rnacentral:snRNA from 1 species